rnacentral:rRNA from 1 species
CACGUAGGGGCCAAGCGUUGUCCGGAUUUAUUGGGCGUAAAGAGCUCGUAGGCGGUUUGUCGCGUCUGCUGUGAAAACUCGGGGCUUAACCCCGGGCCUGCAGUGGGUACGGGCAGACUAGAGUGCGGUAGGGGAGACUGGAAUUCCUGGUGUAGCGGUGAAAUGCGCAGAUAUCAGGAGGAACACCGGUGGCGAAGGCGGGUCUCUGGGCCGUAACUGACGCUGAGGAGCGAAAGCGUGGGGAGCGAACAGG